rnacentral:rRNA from 1 species
AGCGAACGCUGGCGGCAGGCCUAACACAUGCAAGUCGAACGAACUCUUCGGAGUUAGUGGCGGACGGGUGAGUAACACGUGGGAACGUGCCUUUAGGUUCGGAAUAACUCAGGGAAACGUGUGCUAAUACCGAAUGUGCCCUUCGGGGGAAAGAUUUAUCGCCUUUAGAGCGGCCCGCGUCUGAUUAGCUAGUUGGUGAGGUAAAGGCUCACCAAGGCGACGAUCAGUAGCUGGUCUGAGAGGAUGAUCAGCCACAUUGGGACUGAGACACGGCCCAAACUCCUACGGGAAGCAGCAGUGGGGAAUCUUGCGCAAUGGGCGAAAGCCUGACGCAGCCAUGCCGCGUGAAUGAUGAAGGUCUUAGGAUUGUAAAAUUCUUUCAACGGGGACGAUAAUGACGGUACCCGGAGAAGAAGCCCCGGCUAACUUCGUG